GUCAAAUCAUGCUGAAAACAUUGGUUCUCGUUCGGUCACCGAAGUUAAGCAGCGUCGAGUCCGGUCAGUACUUAAAUGAGGGACCACUUCGGAACACCGGAUA